rnacentral:rRNA from 1 species
CUACGGGGCGCUCCAGUGGGGAAUAUUGCACAAUGGAGGAAACUCUGAUGCAGCAACGCCGCGUGGAGGAUGACACUUUUCGGAGCGUAAACUCCUUUUAUAUGUCAAGAAAAUGACGGUAGCAUAUGAAUAAGCACCGGCUAACUCCGUGCCAGCAGCCGCGGUAAUACGGAGGGUGCAAGCGUUACUCGGAAUCACCGGGCGUAAAGGACGCGUAGGCGGGAUAUCAAGUCAGGUGUGAAAUCCUACAGCUUAACUGUAGAACUGCACUUGAAACUGGUAACCUAGAGUAUGGGAGGGGGAGAUGGAAUUUCUGGUGUAGGGGUAAAAUCCGUAGAGAUCAGAAGGAAUACCGAUUGCGAAGGCGAUCUACUAGAACAUUAUUGACGCUGAGACGCGAAAGCGUGGGGAGCAAACAGGAUUAGAUACCCGGGUAGUC